CGUUUCCGUGCCGCAGGAUACGCAGAAUCGUUGUUUCCUUUUUUUUUUUUUUUUUGCUGUUCCUCAAUACACUGUUUCCUUGCGUCAAGGAUACAAAGUAUCACACGCGUAACGUGAGACUUCGCAACAUGACACCGCACAGAAAUCACUGAUAAAAUAUAGCUAGGAACGAUUCACGAUCAGUGUAGUUCCGUUCCCCGUAAAUAUAAGUUAAGCGUGUUGCUGGUUUUCGCGCGUUACGACGUACGAACGUGGGUACGGCCAAUCGACGAAGGCAAUGCGUACCCCUCGCGACCCCGUGACGAACUGAGGUUAGUGCUGGCGGCACAGCGCCACCGUGACCCGUGGAGACACCGUAAACUAAACUCGCACCCGUAUAUACAGCUUGCCGUGGGCCCGCACACGCGACGAGAAAGUACGAAAGGGCUAUCUUCGAAGUUCGGCAAAGUUGCUCGCUUUUCGCAUUUUCAUUUCACGUGACGCGAUUUAUCCUGUCGUUGGAGUGUCCGUCGACUUUGUGCCUCGUGAUAGCUGCUUCAAACACUUGGAGGCGAUCGACGUCCUGGGACAAACUAAUCGAGUGAUGAACUGCCAAUGGAGUUCCAGCUUACACCUUGAUUCUUGGCAGGACAACUCGUGAAACGAAACUUGGACGUUGAAUUCAUUCGGGAUUCGUAAGUAUCCUAUCCACCCAUACCUAUCGAUGAUCCCAACGAUGGAUGGGAAACGAAGUAGAAUGAAGUAUGAACCGUUUGUCGUGACUCUCGAUGGGGGAAAAGGGGAGAAAAGGGACUGCCUGCCUGCCGUGGCUUCUCGGGAAACAAAAGCCGACGAAAAAAAUGUCUUUCGACAACGCAGCGAUUUCUCGUCGAUCUUUGUUCUUUUCGUUUCAGAUCUGAUCAUCCCCCUUUUUUCUUCCCUCCCUCUCCUUCUUUUCUCUUUCUCCUUCCUCCUCUCUCGACUUUGAAGCUUUUAAACUGUGGAAACGUACCAAUUUUCCCACUUUUCCUGGAAGGAUCGGUGAAAGAAAAAGGUCGUCGAGAAAGAAGAAUAAUAAGAGAGAGAGGCGAGUGGGAGGAGUCACAGUACCGACUACGGAGGAAGUGUAAAAGGGAAGAGUGCCCCUAUCGAUAUAUUCUUUGACAAGACCGGCAGCGAUGAAUUAUUCAAUGUAGUAAUCGCGACCGUGUCGCAAUUGCGAAUCGUUGCACGGUUAUGCGCGAUUCUACGUACACCAUGCAUGAAGAGAGGGACUACUGAUUCCUCGUUGACCUUGGUUAAUUGGAGAACGUCAUAACCUUGCAUCUGGCUGCUCUUCUCGGAGCUAUGAACUUUCUCACAAGAAUUUUUCUCGUUUCUUCCUGUUGUUUUCGUUGUUCUGCGGAUUUUUGUGCAUUUGCAGGAAAUUUUCAAGUGCAAAAUUGCACGCAAAUAUGUAAAAAUACAUAAAAUAUUCAAAGCACAAUGCUCUUUGUAAUGUUCGAUACGUGAAGCAAAUUUCUAUCAAUUUUCUAUUUUCCUUUUUUUCUUAUUCUAUUCACAAAAAUAUAAAUUUGCAUAAAAAUCCGCAAUCCAGUAAUUACGAUUGAUUGUAACUGAAAAAGAGCAUAUUAAAUCAUUAAGGUUGUUAUCAUUAAAUCCUUAAAUCGUUCGAAUCAACUUUGAUGUCGGGCAUAUACGUGUAUGUACGAGAUCUGAGAAUAUAUUGCUUUUCUAUCGAUUUAUAUUGGCUAAACGCUGUUUUAUUGCGUAGUUUGCUCGGCAGUCAGUCGCUCAGCGGUUUCACAGCGAAUUAUGUGUAAUUGAGGAAAUGCGGUAGAAGUAAAUCUAUAAAGAAAGAAGCUGACGUGGAAAAGAAAAGAAAAUAACAUUCCGCUUGUAUAAACAAAUCUGCUUAAGAGAAUAAAUUUUUCGUUUUACGUAGGAAUUAUACGAACAGAUUGUGAAACUUGCGUUAGAGAAAUAAAAUGCAAAGAAUAGAAAAAAAAUCUCGAAAAAUGCAGCGCUGUGAAUCGAUGAAAAUUUUCUAUGAAAAUUUGCGAAUUAUUUCCAACAAUCCGACACUUUAAAAAUGUGUUAAAAAUAUACAUAAAUGUACGUGAAGUAUUUAUCUGGAAGAUGAUAGAGGUGAUCGGAGAUCGUUCGAGAGUAGCGAGGGUGUAAACGUGUCUGUUGGAAAGCGAAGAUCACGAGGCGUCUCAUUAGCACCGCGUUUCAGAGUUAACAAUGAUUUUACAAAGUCGUUGGAUCGUUCGGAGCUGCAUAACGCCUACGAAACGCUAUCACGUAAUGUCGUAAACAGCCGAUAGCUUCUGCCAACCGUAAAAUUGCCAACUGACACGAGGUAGAAAAUGUCGCGCGACUUAACGGCGCUGUAAACGAUUCGUUUCUUGUCCGCAACGAAACGAACUGAAAUUCCAAUAUUUCCCUGCAAUUUAAAUUGAUGAAAGAUUUAUUCCUUAACAUUUUUUUCUGAUGAAAACUGUAACAGUUACCAACCAAACAUAAAUAAAAUCUAGAGGACACAGCUAUAUUAGCUGUUUUGCGUGUGCAUACACGUUUUGUGUAUGAAACACAUAAAUCUUCUAAUAUCGAUAGCCAUUUUCUUGCGUGGGAUGGUACAUUGUGUAUAGAAUUAUAUAUUACUAUAAAUUUGUGUAUAGAAAAUAAACACAUUUCCAAUGCACAAUAUAGCAAGA